GCCCAAACUUCAGUUUCCAGUCUGAAAAAGGCCUGUAUCUCAGCGAGGGAAUGGUCUACAUGAAUGAACGACAUCUCAUUGACUUCCUUACAGCCAAUAGAAGAACGCUGUCGUCUCAGAAUUUUGAUGUCAGCUUUGUUCGCUGAUGAGAAGCAACAGAGUGCAGAUGUGACGCUCCUGGCUGCUGCCUUAGAAUAGAGUAAUGCUUCUAAAAACGUGAUGACGUCAUCUCGAGACGCAGGGAAGCGUUUGAAUGUAACAGAGGGAGUCCGUCUAACUGGGGAGCACUUCAACGAUUAGCAGCAUGACUGACUCAACCUGCAGGGUGUGUGACAUGAGCAGUACACACCAGAGCCCUGCUGCUCCUGAUCCAACACACGUGACUCAUUAUCAGGCUUGUGCAGUGGUGACGCUGGAGCAGGGAAACGUCUAAAACAUGCAGGACAGUGGUAUCCUGAGGACCCCGAUUUAGAAACGAUGUCAGAGAGCACUUUGAUUUAGACUGAAACGGCACUUUGAAAGAACCUUUGUCGCCCCCUGUGGACAUGUGAGUCUUUACCACAACACUGCCGUCCUGAUUUGACCCAGUUUUUCUCCCUGUCCAUUCACAGUCAGGGAGAGAGAGAGAUGCAGAAAUACAGUGAGAGACUGUGAACCUGAUUAAAAUGUGACUGUAAAGUUCCACUGAAGGUUUAUUUUGCAGCAGAGUUCGCUCCUGAAACCUUUCAUGGCCACAGCUGCAGUGCUGCGGUUAUUGCUGUUGUUGUCUCAGUGACUAACUAAGCGUACAGGCAGUAAUAAUAUUAAUGAAUGAGUUGCCAUUUUGCUGUAUAAAAGUAAGUCUGAGUCUGAAUCUUUUUGUUAAAUCUAAAAAAAAGUAUACCUCACCAGUUUGCAGUAGUAUUACUUUUAUAUAAUUUACAGAUUGAGUGUCAAGUUAUUUAUUUGACAUUAUGUCCAUUGGUCUUUGUGUUUGUCACGAGUCUUCAUAAACCCUUUCACUCCCUGUGGGAAAAUAGGUUGUUUAAAAUUGAACUGAAUUGAAAAACACAAAUAACACUUUACCUUCAUGGUCCCAUCAGAAUAGAACAAGGUUAACUCAUAAAUUGAUAUGAUCCUUAAGAAACAAUGUCAUUGAUUGAUACUAUUAUUUCAUUUUUUUCCUGCUUCAGUGAGUGAAACUAAGAGUCACCAUGAGAGUGUUAUCUGUCAGUUAUCUGUGAGUUUUUUGUUUGUUUACCUUGUCUUUGUUGUUGAGUGAUCUUCCAUUCACAUUGUCAUGUUUGACGUGUUAUAUGGUGGACUUGAACUUUGAUUUAUGAUUAUGGGCCAGAUUUACCCUGGUGGGUUAAUAGUUAAAAGUUUGAUGAUGAUGAGCAUGAUGAAUGUAUUAUAAAAGUACUGGCAUUUUCCUACUAUUUAAAGUAGCUUUAAAGUAAGCCUCCAUUA